AGCAAUGUCUCCGAGAACCAGCAAUCCCCUCUGCCCCCAUGCACUCGUCCCCUGUGCCGUGGCCAUCCCAGCGACUGAACCCCAAACUUCUAUCAUUGAACCGCAGCGCCUCGUCUCUGGGAGCAAUCACACCUCCCUUCCUCCCUCCCUCCCUCCGCCCCAGGGCCCGGGCAGCCCCCGGGUGAGCCGCUCGGACGGCUCUGGAGUACGGCUGCUGUGUGCAGCCCUGGCGGCGCUCGGCCUCUCCGCCCGAGACGCAGUCCAGCACCGGCCCCGCUCGGCGCCCCAAGUGCAGCCCCGGGAGAGCUGUCCAAGGGUCGCCGGGACCCGCCGGGACACCCCGUGCUGGGGUGGCUCCGGGACGGUUCCAGGACACCCGUCUCGAGGUGUGCCCGAGAACUUCAGGGUGCGGAUCAGUGUCCCCUCCGCGCUCCGCGGCUGCAGGGACCGGCCGGAGGCAGCACGGAGUGGGACGAGAGGAGCCCCUGCCCGGCGCGAGGUUCCGGAGCUGAGAGGGAAGACACACACAGAAGAAAAUUAAGCAGCAGCACCUGAAUUCCACUCACCUCAUGGCAGCAUUCAGAUUUGCUUUGUAAGGGAAUGUAUAACCCAACAGCACUGGUUUUGCUCCACAUGUCCUGGAACACCACACAUGGCACUGUGGCGUAACACCCCAGAACAUCACUCACCUCCCUAGCUGCAGGUGAGUGCUUUCAUAAUUUUAAUGCCUCUGGUUUCACCUUCAGCAUCAGGGGAAGCCAUGUAGCCUCAGCCAGACAAAAUCCCUGCUUUUUCUUAGGGAUUAUUUAAUAGUUGGAUUUCACUAAACUUCCCUAAAACAUUGCCUUUCUUUUGAUCCUAGUUAUUAGAGUUGGCCCCAGGCAUGCUAAGAGCACAAGACUACUGAAGUGACAGUCCCCAGCAAAGCUGCCGGGACAGCUGCAGGCGCCAGGCAGGGACUGCCUGCCCCUGGCUGCCCACCCUAACAGGGACAUGCUCCCAGAUCCCAGCCCAGUGAUGGCAGCUUUCCAGCCCUCCAGCAGCAGCAAGCUGAUCCCCUUUCUCCUCUCCUGCCUGGCCCUGCUGCCACCCCCUUCUUCCCUGAGCCUCAGGAGCUGAGGCUGGCUCAGCUGAGCAUCUGCCCCUCGGACCCAGGCAGUGACUCUUGGAUUUGCCUACACGUCUCAGAGCCUUAGGCAGACCCUGUUGCUUGUUCUGUAACUCUUGAAAAGAAUAGUAGCUCUCAGCCUCAGCUUCUGUUUAGUUAGAUCACAUAUGCACAGGUGUGAUAGCUAAAAGCUUAGCAAUUAGAUUGCUGAAAGAAAAAUGUGACCUUUAGAAGUGACAUGAGAUGAUCUGGUGGGUUGUCAGUUCUGUUGCUGUUACUGGAUCAGUGGUGUGCUGCUGUCCCAGGGAGAUGGCUUCACUCUGCCCCCUGACUUUUCCUCCUCUCCCAGAUAUAGGUUUCACUCACAGUAUCACAGGAUUAACUAGGUUGGAAAUACCUUUGAGGUGACUUAGUCCAACCUAUGACCUAACACCACCUUGUCAACAAUACCAUGGCACUGAGUGGCAUGUCCAGUCUUUUCUUAACCAUCUCCAAGGAUGGUGACUCCACCACCUUCCUGGGCAGCCCUUUCCAAUGCCAAAACACUCUUUCUGUGUAGAAUCUUUUCCUUAUGUUAAGCCUAAACUUCCCCUGGUGCAGCUUAAGGCUGUGUUGUCUUAUCAUGUUAAUUGUCUGGGAGAAGAGACCAGCCCCCACCUGGCUGCACCCUCCUGUCAGGGUGAGUUGUAGAGAGUGAUGAGGACUGAUGAGCCUCCUCUUCUCCAGGAUCAGCAACCUCAGCCCUCUCAACUGCUCCUCACAGGGCUUGCAUUCCAGACCCCUCACCAGCCUUGUUGCCCUUCUCUGGACACACUCCAGCCCCUCAAUGUCCUUUCUAAAUUGGGGGACCCAGAACGGGACACAGCACUCAAGACAGGGAGUGGAAUGAGAUGGGCUUUAAGGUUACUGCCCACCCAAACCAUUCUGUGAUUCUAUGAUAGAUGUGUGACUGAAGUGUGGCUUCUCUCAGCAGGGAGAAGUGAUGCUCCCCAGUGUGGAAGAAACCAACCUGGUCCUGUACCAGGGAGUACUGUGUGCAGAGACCUGGAGAGUCCUUUCUUCCAAGGACAUUCUGUAUGCCCAUGCCCAGAUCCAUUUGGGCUCUUCCAGUGGCUCCUUUGGGCUAUCAGUGGCACAGAGCUCUGUAAAGAUGGCUCAUGUGACCUGCUUGCCUGCUGCAAACUCCAGUGUGUUUUCCUUGUUUCUAGUCGGUGUUAGGGAGGUGGUGGGUUCAACUUGGGGCCACAGCUCAGGAACUAUUUUCUUGUAUUACAAUUAAGUGCCAUCUAGUGCCACAGUAUAGAAAAACACAGCAGCACACGGGUACAUAUAUCCCAUUGGAGCCUGAAAAUGCUGAACUAAUUUGAGGAGAGAACAUUUUGGUUGCUUCUUUUAUAGAAGUGAAUAAAUUCAGUGUGACAGGCCAAGUGGCAUCAAUACACAUUCUGUUUGUCAGUAACUUGGAAAAACAAACACUCUGAGAACAACCAUUUGUGUCUUCAGUCCAAGAUAAAAUGUUGCUGUGAACACUCACAAAAGCUAUCUCCUCCAGCAUUGUUUGGGGCUAAUCAGCACGAUUCCAGUUAAGCAGACAUGGCCUUACAAAUUCAAUUAUUAAUUUCCUUCUCCUAAUAUCUGCUUUUUACAAAUGUCAGGAUUCAUUCUAUAUUUGGUUAUUCUCUACCAGAGAUGAUCUCUAUAUUAUAUAAACCUCAAGGAAACAUAGAAACAGAAUGAUUAGGGGACCUUAAAGUCAAUCCAGUUCCACCCCCUGCAAUGGCCAGAGACACCUUCCACUAGCACAGGCUGCUCCAAGACCCAUCCAGCCUGGCCCUGGACACUGCCAGGAAUGGGGCAGCCACAGAUUCUCUGGGCAGCCUGUGCCAGGGCCUCACCACCCUUGUAGUAAAGAAUUUAUUCCUAAUAUCCAGUCCAACACUGCCCUCCUUCAGUUUAAAGUUGCUUCCUGUUGUCCCAUUGCUCUAUGCCCUGGUGAAUACCAAGUAAAUUUCCCUCAUUUCAGAGAAACACCAUUCACUUGGGGGGACCGGCUCAGAACUUGUCCUGAACCAUGGCGUCUUUGUAAGGUUGGUGUGGUGAAGUUGGCACAUGUGAUCAAAUCCUGGGGAUCUGAUCUGCAUAACUCAAGUUCAUGUGACACCAGCAAGUGCUUUAGACCCUUGCACGAGAUGCAUAUUAGAUUUGCUUUUAUCCCUUCAAAACAGCAAAAGGAAGCAAUCUCUAAGGAGCAUAGUAAAGCGUUAUGCUGUUCCUGAGUGACAAUUUCAUUACAGACUUACAGAAAUGCAUUAUUAUCCUAAACCUAGUUCAUACUUCAGAAAUCAGGGAAGAAUUGCUAACCUGCCCCAAGUUUGACAAAAAAUUGAUCUCUCAGGGGAAGGAAAAAAAAAAAAAAAAAAAGCAUCUAUUGGAAUAAUACUGUAGUGUCAGGUUUUUCUCUGUGCUAGGAGAAAUGGAGAAAUGGUGGGAAAUUCACCGUAGAGGGAGAACAUUAACUAUUUGCAAGCCAAGACCAAUGAAAACCUUCUGGGCCUUGUCUUCAAAUGUGGAGCGGACAUCCUGCUCAAGUUUCCUAGGGACAGCAAAAGCUGUGCUGUAAAUCACUGAUUAUCUCAGUCUUUGCAAGAAGCAGAAAUGCUUAAAGAUCAAUAAAGUUGGAUCCUCAGCUAAUUUAACAGAGAGCUGUAACAAAAUCCAUCCAUUCAUACCAGCCAAGGAGCUCCGCAGUGUCCAUUCUAACAAAUAAAGAUAUAUUUUAUUUUAUGGUGGAUGCUCAGUGCUUUUCACAGCUCUGCAUUUCCUCUGUGAAAUUUUAAAUGGAUUGUUGUGUUGCCACAUUUCUCUUCACAGAGAAAAUCAAGGCACAAUUAUUCCCAAGAAUAUUUCUGGGUUUCACAUUCUCUCAAUUUCAGAGAAAGGAAAAAUAAUUUUAAUCUCAUUUGCUGUGCCUGUGUUUAUGUAAAAGUAGAAUGCAAUAUGGAGAUUGUUUACCCACAGGGAUGGUGUUUUGUUUCCUUGGCCUGUCAGGGCCAGGUGUAUGUGUGUGUGUGUGUGUGUGUGUGUGUGUGUGUGUUUGUGUCAGGACUCUGGGCUGACAGUCACAAGAUUCUGUGCAGGGUGUGCAGCUGAUUGCUUGGCAGAUUCAGUUUAGAUGUAAUGUAACACAGUGUAAUAUAAUAUAGAAUAAUACAGUAUGAUAAAGUAAUUAGCGAUAUGAUAUGAUAUGGUACGAUAUGAUAUGGUAUGAUGAUAUGAUAUGAUAUGAUGGAGUCCUCCUCAUCAUUCCUCCCUGCCACAGGGAUCCCUGCAAAUCCUAUAUUGUUGCAAUUCUAUUAAGCAAUUUUUAUUUUAACCUUUUGCACUUUUCAAUUCACACAAUGGAUUUGUCACAAAGUAGUGUAUUCAACUAUAAUUGCACAGAUGCUCUGCAACAUUGUCAGUUUGCUCAUUUAGCAAAGGGCAGUGAUUGAAGGAUAUGUGUGUACAUGUCCAGCAUCAACUUCAAAACAGACUGAACUGAUAUUGGUUAGUAUUUCUUCUUUGAGCUGGCUUCAGGGACUGAACAAGCAAAGUAUUGCCCACCAGCAAAGCCCUGGCACAUCAUUGUUGUUCAAGACAGUCAAAAUGGCACAAGAUGCUAAAAAGAGAAAAUAUUCAAGUAUUCUUUGCCACAGAUAUAAACAGUCUGGGACAGAAAUGUGAGAAAAAAAAUUCCCUGCCCUAGCAUCUGCCCUUGACCCACUUCAUGUCCUGUGGCCAAAGAAAGGAGACUCAAGGAGGGGAAACAAAUGUGGUCAGAACUACCCAGCAACGAACAAAGGAACAGACUGUUUAGCUACGGAAAGAGAUACCUGGGAAGACCCAGUACAGUUAUGUGCAACCUCAGGGUCCUGAGGAAGGUUACAGGGAAGCUGUUCAGUGCUGCUUCCCAGGCCAGACCUGGAAGAUGCCAGCACUAUAGCUUCAAAAAAGGGAAGAAAUUUUCCAGCCAAGGUGGGGUUUAGGUACAGAAUUCUUUGACACAAGAUAUUGAGGAUAUUAAAAAUAAAAAAAAAAAAAAAAAAAGAAUUUUCGGUGAAAAAUAUCAUCAGCUAAGUACUAGGUCAAAAAUCCUCUAAGGGGUUAUUAAAGGCCAGGUACCAUCUUUAGCUUGGGAUAUCUCUGAGAGUUGGGCAGUUGGCAGUCACACAUCCAUACAUGUUCCUUCACAGCUGCUUUGGAGACUGGUUCCUCACCUGGCUAAGCUCUGUGCUCUGUGCUCUGAUCAGGUACAGAUGCUCACCUCCCACAUCCACAAGCCUCAUUUCCACAUCACUGUUGGAGAAGGACAUACAUACAGUCCCAGUGUGCUCCAGCACAGUGAUUACUUUGUUCCAACUCUGAAGAUGCUUAUAAUGGACAUAAAAACAUAUCCCUCAUUUUCACUGCUCUACUGUAUUUUAUCUCUCUGAGCAGCUUCAGCAUCAAACAAGAAACUCACAGCGUUGUCAUCUUUCUCUCUCAAGUAGCUGUGAGCAUCUGUCAGUGACAAGUAAUUCCAUGAAAACAGAAAAAAGAUCUGGGAUUCACAUUCCCUCCCUUGCAUCAUCUUUAGAAGCAGUUUUACAUACAUGUAUAUGAUUGUGCUCACCUCGUGAGGAAUCAUGGGGUUCAGAUAAGAGAUAAAUCAAUUCUCCCUUGUGAGGGUGGUGAGGCCCAGGCACAGGAUGCCCAGAGAAUCUGUGGUUGCCCUAUACCUGGAGAGUCCAAGGACAAGUUAGACACUGGGGCUUGGAGCACCCUGGGAUAGUAGAAGAUGUCCCUGCUCAUGGUAGGACGUGGAUGAUCUUAAAGUCCCUUCCAAUCUAAACAAUACUGUGAUUCUAUGAUUUAACAAAAACCCUUAUUUGAUCACAACCAGGCAUUGGUAUGAUGGCACUAGUUCUCCUAAACCCUUAGUCAAUGAACUCUGUGUAACCCAUCAUAGCCAACAGAGGCUGGAAGAUGAGUAAACCAAAUGAGUACACUGAAAUCUAGCCUUUUUAUAAGAGAAUAACAUGAAUAAUAAAUAGUCCAUCUGAAUGGAUCAGUCCCUUUUGCCUCUGUGAAAACCUGGCCCAGAUUCCCUGGUGCUGAUGGUCUGCAGCAGACGCAGCAGGUAAGGACCAUCCAUUUCCCAGUUUUCCUGUUUCUCAGUAGAUUUGUCCAUGCUGACUUUGCCCCAGUGGACCCUGGACACAAUACCCCGAUCAUUUAGACACCCAUGAGCAAUUUGGGACCAGAGAUAUCAAAAGGUCACACAUAAUUUAGCAAAACCACAACUUCCUCCUUCAUUAUUUUGAAUGGAGACAUUGAUUUAAAAUAAAACCUCUUAACUGACUUUUUUGAUUUUGUGUAGUCUUCGUGUUGACAGUAAGGCUUGUCCAAGCUCAAAGAUGACAGCAGUAGAGCUCCGGUAUUGCUUGUACAGUACCAAAGGCUCAUAUGUAGGUGCAGAUGAUGUAGGUGAAUCAACUGGAUCCAGAUAAUUUCUGGAAUGCUGUGUCUCGCCGAAUUGUUCCUCAUCCUCAUCAAUGUCAUUCCUCAUCCUGAUCACCUCACUUUCUCAUCAUCUGCAAAAUAAGCCACCCACCAACAUGCAUCCCACCUCUAGGAAGGAAAUAAAUAAUUGGAGACUGGCCCCGUCUGUCUGCUCUGUCACUGCCUUUUUCCCUUGCCAGUUCUUUGUAUUUUUGCUCUUCUGUCUGAAAGCAUAACACCACAUCUUAAUAGGAAAAUUAAUAAGUAAACACUCAGAAUGAAAAAUUUGUGGGAAUGAGAUUAAAUACAGCUAAUUGAUUUGUUAAUGAAAUCUUCCUGAAAAAAAUCCAGGGUUGUUCAAACCCUUAAUCUGUGAUUGUCAAUUUACAGAAAAAUUGCAGGAAAAAAUGACAAAGAUCAGUUUAAUUCAGGCAAGAGAUGAUGGGCACCUUGGAGAGAGACAGCAGCUCCUGGAGAAGCAAAGCUUUAUCCAACUGUUGACAGGAAGGACCAAGAAAGCUCUCUCAAGAUUUGUGAGGUUUAGCUCCAAAACACAGCAGAACUUUGGCAUCCUGCAGUGCCUGAGAGCCCAGAGCACCACAGCUUGGUUUAAUUCUGCCCCAGCCAUGCUCAGAGCAGGAAUGCUUUGUCAAUGAGGCAGGUAGGUCUGGUGCCUUGACCUGACAGGCAGAGUCAGAAAGACCUGGUGGGUUUUACUUCAUGGUUGCAAGAAGCAAAGUGGAGAAGAUUUGUUGAUGCAGCUCCACAGGCCACAUCCCUCAUGGACAGACAAGGCUUAUUGUGAGAUUUUGGCAUCUUUUGUGAAAUGUGCUGAUGUCAGGACACUGCAGCUAUGGGUAUUGUACUUUUAAUACCCACUUAAUCAAAAUUCAGUCCCCUGGUUGAACUUAACUGCUGCUGCCAUAUUUAAAUUUUUUUCUCUGGUCUUAUCAUGGCAGAUAAUAAUUCAUAUAUAAUUCAGCCCUGUGCAGAGCUAGAAAGGGGCUCUUAGUGGCUUAAAUCUUAUUUAUGCACUAAUACGAAGGCAUGCGUAGUAUUUAUGGAAUGCUUAAUCCCUGUGCUAACCCUCUGCACAGAAGCAGCUCCCAAACACAGCAGAACAGCUUUUAUGACAAAUACUGUCAGCAACACCUAUUUCUUUAGCUUUGUGAGUUCCUACUUCCUUCCAAAGGAGAGAAGAUUAGGAAGGAGAACGAAACAAAGGUCCUAACCCUCCAGCCUUUGAUCUGGAUGAGAUUAGAUCCUGCUGUAAAUUUAGGACAAGCCUUCAGAGAUGUGUGGUGAUUUCUCAGAGCUUGAUUGUGAUUUCAAAGCAGCAUUGUAUUCUGGGACCUAGUGCUGGUCCAUCAAUGCCAACCAAGAGAGACUCUCCUACAACAGCUUUCUGUAGUCUGGGGCUGUUCUCUGAGGGUGCUUUGCUCUUGCAUUACUGCACGUUGGUUUGUUAAUGUGCUCACUAUGCACAUUUCCCUUGAUUUGCUUAAAAUCAUAGAAUGAUAGAACGUUAGCACAUUGUAAACAAACACCCCACCUCCAAACCAGAAAUGUUCCUAAAUGAGUAAAUUUUUAAGCACUCUAUAUCAUUACAUUUUCAAGGAAGCUUGGGAGAAGAAAUAACACACACUGGAAAGAAUUCCGUUUCAUGGUUAAAGCUACUCUUCAAGAAAUCUUUUCUGUGUAGACUCUUGGGAGAGGGUGGAUAGGGAAGAAAGAUGCAAGUCUCAAGAAAAUUUGCCAGUAGAUAAUCAAAUAACUGGCCUCUAAUUUUUUAUCAUCAUGGACUUCAGAUAUAUGAUUUAUUCACCAGUGUAAAAAAUAUACCAAACCCCAAACAAGGAUAAGUCCUUUUCUGUAGGUCCAAAAAAUACU